AGUGAACGCUGGCGGUAGGCCUAACACAUGCGAGUCGAACGGCAGCACAGUAAGAGCUUGCUCUUACGGGUGGCGAGUGGCGGACGGGUGAGGAAUACAUCGGAAUCUACUUUUUCGUGGGGGAUAACGUAGGGAAACUUACGCUAAUACCGCAUACGACCUACGGGUGAAAGCAGGGGAUCUUCGGACCUUGCGCGAUUGAAUGAGCCGAUGUCGGAUUGCUAGUUGGCGGGGUAAAGGCCCACCAAGGCGACGAUCCGUAGCUGGCCUGAGAGGAUGAUCAGCCACACUGGAACUGAGACACGGUCCAGACUCCUACGGGAGGCAGCAGUGGGGAAUAUUGGACAAUGGGCGCAAGCCUGAUCCAGCCAUACCGCGUGGGUGAAGAAGGCCUUCGGGUUGUAAAGCCCUUUUGUUGGGAAAGAAAAGCAGCAGGUUAAUACCCCGCUGUUCUGACGGUACCCAAAGAAUAAGCACCGGCUAACUUCGUG
rnacentral:rRNA from 1 species